AGCAGCCAUUUUGGAACUAGAGUCUGCUUGUUGUAUCUUUCUUUUCUUGUCAGGAGUCCUUCAGUUAUGGAGCAGAAAUAUUGACAUGUGACUUAAGUGACCAAUCAUAUAGCAUGUAUACAAAUUAUGGAUAUUUAUGGAAAAUGGCUCCCAAGCAUGAAAAAAACUGGAACUCCCUUCUGAGAGAGGACAGUGAGUGGAGAGGAUCACAAGAGUAAACCUAAGCUUCAAACAUGACUGACUUUAUGGCUUUCAGUAUGGAAAAACAUCAUAUAUGGAAAACGGGAGCUUUGAAAAUGCAAAACUAUAGGUGGUAACCUAUUUUAAAAAUAAUGAACACAUGUCAUUAGUUGGCAAACAUGGCCAAACUGGAUGAGAGGGUGAUAUGUGCAACUUAAAAUGAGCCAUGAGUAGCAGGUGCCAGCACUGAGAUUAUUCUAUAUUCAUUAUAAGGUAUACCAGAAUUUACGAUUCUAUUUCAGCAAAAUUGAAUGUGCUUGUCGUGGAAGUCUGUUUGCUCUGUAUGAUUCUCUAUAUUUAACUGUAAUAUUAAUCUAUAUUUCAUCUCCUAUCUCUGUUCUUCUAUGUCACACUCUAAAUCACAAGUGCUGCCAAGGGAAUUGGUGAGGGAAUAUUCCUGUCUGUUGUCUGAGAUGGCAGAGCAUAUUGAUACCUUUAUGUUUCUUCCAUCUGUUGUAUGCUAUGUGACUUGUGGCCUAAUUAUUAUUCUCCCUCCCUAGAGCCUGUUAUCUUUCCUGAAUGGAGCUCCCGGACUGAACUGUAACUCUAUAGCCAAGUUCAUCAAACCCAUGAGAUGUUCACGUUAUCAUUCUUCUGAAACUUAAACCUAAAACACUUAAAAAGUAUUUAUCAGUGCUAAUUAAGGCUAAUAUAUUAAUUUAGGACUAAUUAUAACACGUUGAUUUUAUAUACAAUUUUUCACUGAGGAUUCCAAAGCACUUUUAUAGAGGGAAGUAAAUCUGGCCAGUUUAGUAAAAGGGAAGGCAGUGAGAGAGAGGUACACAUUUCCAAAAUGUCUGCUAGUUUGGGGGCUUCACAGAUUCUCAGUGCUGAGUGUCUCAAACUGGAUACCAAAUGAGACAAUGAUCGGGUUUAAAUGACUACUCUGUGAUAGCCAGAAGAUAGUCUACAUCUAUCCCAACCAUGUAGUUGGUUCAGUAGAAAAUAUCUCCCACGAGAAUUUUUGCCUCUUGCAUACCAUCUCUCCCUUGUUAUUCCUCAUCAUAAAUUAUCUCAGUGACAGAACAGGAAUCCAAGCCCAAGGUAUGGGAGGUAGCCAUUUUAUUUUAACCCCUGGAGCUCUCUAUUAGCAAGCAAUCCAACUUUGUCUUUUUUAGGUUAUAUAAAAUGUUAUAGCAUGCAUUUUCUCUGUUAUCAGAGGGUUAGCCUUCUGCAAAACCUAAAACUUAGUCUUAUUUUAGUGGUUGUGAAAGGCGUUGGAGUGAUAGCCCUGACAGUCAAAGUCCUUUAUCUGCCACUGGGACAUGCACACCCUGAGCCACAGGGGGCCCUGGUCCUUUCCUCUGUGGCCACCCGGAUGGGGUGCUACCUGCGUGGGUGCUGCCCCAGCUCACAGGCAGCACCCACCAGAUCCAACU